rfam:Salmo salar isolate Sally breed double haploid chromosome ssa23, whole genome shotgun sequence.
UGUAUGCACGCGUGACUAAGUCGCUUUGGAUAAAAGUGUCUGCUAAAUGGUAUAUA